UACAGAGGUCUCAAGCGUUGUUCGGAUUCAUUGGGCGUAAAGGGUGCGUAGGGGGCGCGGAAAGUCGGGUGUGAAAUCUCGGAGCUUAACUCCGAAAUUGCAUUCGAUACUGCCGUGCUUGAGGACUGGAGAGGAGACUGGAAUUCAUGGUGUAGCAGUGAAAUGCGUAGAGAUCGGGAGGAACAUCCGUGGCGAAGGCGACUACCUGGACCAGCACUGACACUGAGGCACGAAAGCGUGGGGAGCAAACAGG
rnacentral:rRNA from 1 species